rnacentral:lncRNA from 1 species
CGUGAAGACCAUGAGAUCAAGUGGUUGCCAAGAUAUAUAGCAAAACCAGUAGUAGACUUUCGAUCAUCCACAUCGCCACCCCAAUCAGAAUCUGUGUAACCAUGAAGUAGGGUGGUUGAGGUACGUGAUAAGAAUAGACCAUGAGCAGAUGUAGAUUUGAUGUAUCGCAAAAUCCGCUUCACUGCCACCCAAUGACUGUCCAUAGGACAAUGCAUAAAUUGUGAAACUUUAUUUACUGCGUAUGCUAUGUCGGGACGAGUGAAUGUCAAGUAUUGGAGGGCACCAACUAUACUACGAUACAAAGUAGGAUCACUGAAAGGAAUUCCACCAGAAGAGGAAAGCUUCAAAGCUGGGGAAAUGGGAGUAGUAACAGGACUGCACGAGUCCAUCUGUGCUCGGCGAAGAAGAUCAGUGACAUACUUGUGUUGCGAUAAGAAUAAUCCUUCCUUCGUCCAAGUUGCUGCAAUACCCAAAAAAUAGGACAAAAUCCCUAAAUCCCGGACGGCAAACUGAGAUUGAAGUUGAGAAACCAAAGCCUUGAUAUGUACAGGGUUAUUACCCAUCACUAAAAUAUCAUCCACAUAUAUCAAGCAAAAAAUUUUGUCACCGGGAGUGGACAUAUAAAAUAAAGAGCUAUCAGUCUUAGAACCAAUGAACCCAAGUGAAAGAAGAGCAUCCGUGAGGCACUUGUUCCACAUCCGAGGCGCCUGUUUGAGACCAUAAAGAGAGCGCUUAAGUAGGCAGACAUGAUCGGGACGAGAGGGGUCAACAAAACCAGGAGGCUGAGACAUAUAUACCACCUCAUCUAAGUGUCCAUGAAGAAAAGCAUUAGAAAUGUCCAGCUGCGUUAUAUGCCAACCGUUAGUCACUGCUAACGAGAGUAACAAACGAAUAGUAGUUGGCUUAACAACUGGACUAAAGGUGUCCACAAAAUCAACCCCAGGCCGUUGAUGAUAUCCUUUUGCAACGAGACGUACUGUAAGAAACUCUUUCUUAUUAAUGUUCAACUUACACGAGGAGAUAUUUAUACACAGAAACUAACCAAGAGUCCUAGUUGAUUACGGUACAGAAACAACAAAGUCUAAACAAACUAGGAUACCAGAAGAAACCAAGACAUAGUCGAACUCGUCUAUGGUAUCGUCAUCAUUCCCCCUCAAGUUGAGCAGGGUUCUGAACCACUGUCAACUUGAACUUCAAUUCAUGAAAUCGUAACUUCGACAAUGGCUUAGUCAACAGAUCAGCUAUUUGAUCAUGUGUGUUGACAUAACGAACCGCAAGAGUUUUAGAGCGAACCUUGUCUCGAACAAAAUGAAAAUCAAUCUCCAUGUGUUUUGUACGAGAAUGAAAAAUGGGAUUGGCAGUCAAGUAUGUAGCACUGAGAUUAUCACACCAAAGAAUAGGAGUAGAGGAGGUGAAGCAGCCAAUCUCACGGAGAAGGAACUCAACCCAAGUGAGUUCAGAAGUUGCAGCUGCCAGGGCCCUAUACUCGGCCUCAGUACUCGAUCUAGAGACAGCACGCUGCUUCCGUGAAGACCAUGAGAUCAAGUGGUUGCCAAGAUAUAUAGCAAAACCAGUAGUAGACUUUCGAUCAUCCACAUCGCCACCCCAAUCAGAAUCUGUGUAACCAUGAAGUAGGGUGGUGGAGGUACGUGAUAAGAAUAGACCAUGAGCAGAUGUAGAUUUGAUGUAUCGCAAAAUCCGCUUCACUGCCACCCAAUGACUGUCCAUAUGACAAUGCAUAAAUUGUGAAACUUUAUUUACUGCGUAUGCUAUGUCGGGACGAGUGAAUGUCAAGUAUUGGAGGGCACCAACUAUACUACGAUACAAAGUAGGAUCACUGAAAGGAAUUCCACCAGAAGAGGAAAGCUUCAAAGCUGGGGAAAUGGGAGUAGUAACAGGACUGCACGAGUCCAUCUGAGCUCGGCGAAGAAGAUCAGUGACAUACUUGUGUUGCGAUAAGAAUAAUCCUUCCUUCGUCCAAGUUGCUGCAAUACCCAAAAAAUAGGACAAAAUCCCUAAAUCCCGGACGGCAAACUGAGAUUGAAGUUGAGCAACCAAAGCCUUGAUAUGUACAGGGUUAUUACCCAUCACUAAAAUAUCAUCCACAUAUAUCAAGCAAAAAAUUUUGUCACCGGGAGUGGACAUAUAAAAUAAAGAGCUAUCAGUCUUAGAACCAAUGAACCCAAGUGAAAGAAGAGCAUCCGUGAGGCACUUGUUCCACAUCCGAGGCGCCUGUUUGAGACCAUAAAGAGAGCGCUUAAGUAGGCAGACAUGAUCGGGACGAGAGGGGUCAACAAAACCAGGAGGCUGAGACAUAUAUACCACCUCAUCUAAGUGUCCAUGAAGAAAAGCAUUAGAAAUGUCCAGCUGCGUUAUAUGCCAACCGUUAGUCACUGCUAACGAGAGUAACAAACGAAUAGUAGUUGGCUUAACAACUGGACUAAAGGUGUCCACAAAAUCAACCCCAGGCCGUUGAUGAUAUCCUUUUGCAACGAGACGUGCCUUGUAACGUUCUAAUGAACCAUCAGCUUUCAAUUUGGUUUUAAAUAUCCAGCGACAACCAAUGAUAUUUUGUGACGGAGAUGGAGGAACAAGCUGC